rnacentral:rRNA from 1 species
ACCCGCUGAACUUAAGCAUAUCAAUAAGCGGAGGAAAAGAAACCAACAGGGAUUGCCUCAGUAACGGCGAGUGAAGCGGCAACAGCUCAAAUUUGAAAUCUGGCUCUUUCAGGGUCCGAGUUGUAAUUUGUAGAAGAUGCUUUGGGUGUAGCUCCGGUCUAAGUUCCUUGGAACAGGACGUCAUAGAGGGUGAGAAUCCCGUACGUGACUGGUUGCUUUCGCUCGUGUAAAGCUCUUUCGACGAGUCGAGUUGUUUGGGAAUGCAGCUCAAAAUGGGUGGUAAAUUUCAUCUAAAGCUAAAUAUUGGCCAGAGACCGAUAGCGCACAAGUAGAGUGAUCGAAAGAUGAAAAGCACUUUGGAAAGAGAGUUAAACAGUACGUGAAAUUGUUGAAAGGGAAGCGCUUGCAACCAGACUUGCGCGCUGUUGAUCAUCCGAGAUUUUUCCCGGUGCACUCGGCAGCGCUCAGGCCAGCAUCGGUUUUGGUGGGCGGAUAAAGGCCUUGGGAAUGUAGCUUCUUUCGGGGAGUGUUAUAGCCCUCGGUGCAAUGCGCCCUACCGGGACCGAGGACCGCGCUUCGGCUAGGAUGCUGGCGUAAUGGUUGUAAGCGACCCGUCUUGAAACACGGACCAAGGAGUCUAACAUCUAUGCGAGUGUUUGGGUGUCAAACCCAUACGCGUAAUGAAAGUGAACGGAGGUGAGAACCCUUAAGGGUGCAUCAUCGACCGAUCCUGAUGUCUUCGGAUGGAUUUGAGUAAGAGCAUAGCUGUUGGGACCCGAAAGAUGGUGAACUAUGCCUGAAUAGGGUGAAGCCAGAGGAAACUCUGGUGGAGGCUCGCAGCGGUUCUGACGUGCAAAUCGAUCGUCAAA